AUCUACUCAAGUGUAGCCAAGUCUAGCAUAUAUAUAUAUAUAUAUAUGAAUGCUUUCUGCAAGGGUGGGAACAUGAUUUUUCAUUAGGGGUUUUUGUCAUAUAUGAUAUUUUUAUUGCCACAAAGAAUUAGAAAUAAUUAAAAUAGAAGAACUGAUAUUCAGGUUCCAGAUUAACCAUGGGAGACCAAUUUUGAAUUCAAAUGGUCAAGCGUUAUCAUGUAGUAUAGAUUAACAGUAAAUGAAUUCUAUAUUGUCUGCCUUUUAUAUUUAAUUACAAUAUAGCAUCAAUUUGAAUAAUUUCAAUGAUCUACACAAGUUUCAGUAAUUUAAUAAUCAAGAAGAUCUUCAAAUUCUGAUAUUUCACUUGAAGGCUUAGUUGACAUUAUGCACAAUGACAAAUGAUUGAACAUAAUAAUGUCAUUAAGUUAAAAAGGGGAAGAUGAAGAAUAGAGGGGUCACCAUAAUCCUUUGUUUCUUCCUUAGAUUCUUCCAAUUAGAGGGAACAGAAUUGGAAAAAGGUGCAAGGAUUUCGGCAUAGAUUGUGCUAUAGUAUAUUGCAGUAGACA
rnacentral:lncRNA from 1 species